UCAACGUCGAUGGAGAUACAAAGUGGCGCGAUGCAUAACGACGUUGCUCGGUACUCAUCCAUAGUAGCCACCUGCGGGCCCCUAACAGUGCCGUCGUCUCCCACAAAGCUUAGCUCCUUGGUGCCGGCAGCUUCUCCAAGGUCUACGUCGCCCGCAACGCCCGCACUGGCGAGCUGGUCGCCAUCAAGGCCCUCGACAAGGCGAAGAUCCUCCGGGACGGACUCUUCGCCCACAUCAAGCGCGAGAUCGCCAUCCUCCGCCGCGUCCGCCACCCCUACAUCGUUCAGCUCCACGAGGUCAUGGCCACCCGGAUAAGGGUUUGACCUCUCUGGCCUGUUUGAGGAGACGGGAGAAGACAGGUUCCUCUCCAAGGAGCCAGUUUCGAAGAUCAUUUCCAAAUCGGAGGAGAUCGCCAACUUGAUGAGGUUUACGGUGAGGAGAAAUGGCUGCCGGGCGGGCUUAGCAGGUACGAGAGAGGGGGAACAUGGGCCAUUGACAAUUGCAGUAGAGGUGUUCGAGCUUAUUUCAUCGAUCGUAGUCAUAGAGGUCACCAAGAAAGCAGGGGAUGGAGAGGUGUAUAUGGAAUUCUGCAACAAGGAGCUGAAGCCCAGGUUGCUCCACCUCGUAUUUGAGUCACCUUCUGUCGGCAAAACUUCUUCCAGCAACAAUUGGUUUAUCUGUUCAUACCGUGCAUGCAUCUCAGAAGCUGUAUCGCCAUUCGACCAGUGAGACAUUUAGAGAUGAAGAGGGCUUUUCUCAGUGUUCUGCCAGUCAUUCUCCCUGGUGGAUAAUACCGCUAUUUGUGACUCUAUUAAGCCAAAAGCCAAUGAUGUGCCACAAUUACUCUCUCUAUUGUCUCUCUCUCUCUCCAUCAAGAAGAGGUGUCAAGCUUUUGAGAGUUGUUCAUUUCAUGCUGUGAUUUCUUCAGCGAUCGAAAUCAUUGCAAUCAUAUUAAUUGUGUAUCGACAAGACCUAGUAAGGCUUCAUCAUACUCUCUUCGGAUCGACCCAGAUUGUGUUGCUCCAUCUUUGUGGUCUUAUUCUGAGUAGUUAGCUUUUGUGCAUAUGUGCACAGCCUUACAGCAUGGAAUUAGGAGUGACUUAUGCUUGUAUAGAAUAUGAACAUUUUUAUAAAUAAUACUUCUUAUUUAUUUAUUUAUUUUAA